GGACUACUGGGGUAUCUAAUCCUGUUUGCUCCCCACGCUUUCGCGUCUCAGCGUCAGUACCGUCCCAGCGAGCUGCCUUCGCCAUUGGUGUUCCUCCUGAUAUCUGCGCAUUUCACCGCUACACCAGGAAUUCCACUCGCCUCUUCCGGACUCUAGCUCGACAGUUUCCACCGGCAUUCCAGGGUUGAGCCCUGGACUUUCACAGCAGACUUAUCGAGCCGCCUACACGCGCUUUACGCCCAAUGAUUCCGGACAACGCUUGCCCCCUACGUAUUACCGCGGCUGCUGGCAC
rnacentral:rRNA from 1 species